UACUUUCAUUGCUGGAAUCAGAGGCUCUGCUUCUAUUCUAUUGCGUAGAUUCUCUCCCUUCUGCAGUUCUUGCUAAUUUCUUCCUUUUUUCUGGAUUCUUCUAUGGUUUUGGCGAAAAGGGUUUUGAUUUUUCGCUUCUGGGUUUGGUGAUUUUGGCCGAGAAAAGCUCAUUUAGAGCUGCAGAAGCUUGUUUGUUCAAGAAUCUAUCAGUUUAUUUGAUUUUAUCCAUCACUCUGCCACUGUUUGGAUUCGAAAAAGAUGUCUCAAACCAACUGGGAAGCUGAUAAAAUGUUAGAUGUGUAUAUUCACGAUUAUUUGGUAAAAAGAGAUAUGAAGGCUACUGCUCAGGCUUUCCAAGCAGAGGGAAAAGUCUCUUCGGAGCCUGUGGCAAUCGAUGCGCCUGGAGGCUUUCUUUUCGAAUGGUGGUCGGUUUUCUGGGAUAUAUUCAUUGCUAGAACCAAUGAGAAACACUCUGAUGUUGCUGCAUCUUAUAUUGAGACACAAUUAAUAAAAGCUAGAGAGCAACAGCAACAUCAGCAACAUCAACAGCAGCAGCAGCAGCAGCAAACACAGCCACAACAACAGCAACCGCAGCACAUGCAGAUGCUACUGAUGCAGAGACAUGCCCAACAGCAGCAGCAGCAGCAACAACAGCAACAGCAUCAACAGCAACAGCAGCCACAGCAGCAACAACAACAGACUCAGCAACAGCAACAGCAGCGGAGAGAUGGAGCCCAACUCUUAAAUGGUACUUCAAAUGGUUUUGUUGGAAAUGAUCCUCUUAUGCGCCAAAAUCCCGGUUCUGUGAAUGCAUUGGCUACAAAAAUGUAUGAGGACAGAUUAAAACUGCCCCUUCAGAGGGAUUCACUCGAUGAUGCGGCUAUGAAACAAAGGUAUGGGGAAAAUGUUGGGCAGCUGUUAGAUCCAAAUCAUGCUUCGAUUCUGAAGUCAGCUGCAGCAACCAGCCAGUCGUCAGGGCAAGUGUUACAUGGUACAGCUGGGGGAAUGUCUCCUCAAGUUCAAUCGAGGAGCCAACAAUUGCCAGGUUCCACACCGGAUAUAAAGAGUGAGAUCAACCCAGUUUUGAAUCCUAGAGCUGAGGGAUCACUGAUGGGUAUUCCUGGAUCAAAUCAUGGUGGCAAUAAUUUGACCUUAAAGGGAUGGCCCCUCACUGGACUCGAGCAGCUACGUUCUGGGAUCCUUCAGCAACCGAAACCUUUCAUACAGGCUCCUCAACCUUUUCCUCAGCUUCAGAUGUUGACACCGCAACACCAACAACAACUUAUGCUCGCACAACAGAAUUUAACGCCACCUUCUGUUAACGAUGAUGGUAGAAGAUUGAGAAUGCUUUUGAAUAGUCGAAUGACGAAAGAUGGACUUCCAAAUUCUGUUGGUGAUGUUGUUCCAAAUGUUGGAUCUCCUCUCCAAGCUGGCAGUCCUCUCCUGCCCCGUGGAGACAACAGUGACAUGAUGAUUAAGAUUAAAAUGGCUCAAUUGCAGCAGCAACAACAGAAUAGCAGCCAACAACAACAACAACAACAACAGCAUUCUCUUUCAAAUCAACAAUCACAAAGCUCAAACCACAAUAUGCACCAGCAAGAAAAAAUCGGGGGUGCUGGCAGUGUCACCAUGGAUGGUAGCAUGACAAACUCAUUUCGUGGAAAUGAUCAGGUUUCAAAAAAUCAGCCUGGGAGAAAAAGGAAGCAGCCAUUGUCGUCUUCAGGUCCAGCAAAUAGCUCAGGAACAGCGAAUACAGCAGGUCCAUCCCCAAGUUCUGCUCCUUCAACUCCCUCAACUCACACACCUGGAGAUGCAAUCUCAAUGCCUGCUUUGCCUCACAGUGGUAGUUCAUCUAAACCUUUGAUGAUGUUCAGUAGCGACGGCACUGGCACUUUUACAUCCCCCUCGAAUCAGUUGUGGGAUGAUAAAGAAAUUGAAUUGCAGGCUGAUAUGGAACGCUUUGUGGAGGAUGGGUCUCUUGAUGACAACGUCGACUCUUUUUUAUCCCAUGAUGAUACGGACCCUCGAGAUCCUGUAGGGCGCUGUAUGGAUGGUGGAAAAGGAUUCACGUUUACGGAGGUGAAUUCUGUUCGAGCAAGCACGAGCAAAGUUUCAGCUUGCCACUUUUCAUCGGAUGGAAAACUGCUUGCUAGUGGUGGCCAUGAUAAAAAGGCCGUGUUGUGGUACACAGAAAAUUUAAAACCGAAAACUUCACUUGAAGAACAUCUUUCCAUGAUCACUGAUGUUCGUUUUAGUCCUAGCAUGCCCCGUCUCGCAACAUCAUCGUUUGAUCGAACAGUCAGGGUUUGGGAUCCCGACAAUCAUUGUUAUUCCCUACGUACUUUUACGGGACAUUCUGCAUCUGUUAUGUCUUUGGACUUCCAUCCAAAGAAGGACGACUUUAUUUGCUCGUGUGACGGUGACGGUGAGAUUCGAUACUGGAAUAUCACUAAUGGCAGCUGUGCAGCAGUAUUCAAGGGUGGUACUGGCCAGUUGAGAUUUCAACCUCGGCUCGGGAGAUACUUCGCUGCUGCUGUAGAUAAUAUCGUUUCAAUUUUUGAUGUCGAGACACAAGCUCGUCUGCAUUCGUUUCAGUAUAGGGACACACCAAAACGGUUAAUUCUCUUUGUUGGGAUCCUUCUGGAGAGUUCCUGGCAUCUGUUAGCGAGGAUUCGGUUCGAGUAUGGACACUUGCUUCGGGCAACGAGGGCGAAUCCAUUCACGACUUGAGCUGUAGCGGCAAUAAGUUCCACUCGUGCGUUUUUCAUCCCAUCCAAUCUAGUUUACUGGUCAUUGGAUGUUACCAGUCAUUAGAGCUUUGGAACACGACCGAAAACAAGACAAUGUUCGUAUCAGCUCAUGAAGGUUUAAUAUCUUCGUUAGCAGGGUCUACAGCAUCGGGUCUGGUUGCUUCGGCCAGCCACGACAAGUUCAUCAAGCUGUGGAAGUAAAACAAAGAAAAAAAGACGAAAACCCGAAAACGAAGAAAAGGUAAUCAUCACAUCACACUACUACUAGAAUUAAAAGCUGAAGCAGUGAGUGAUCUGGUACUGGCUUGUUUUUUUUAAUCAGGACUUGUAAUUUUUGUUUGUUUUUUGUUCCUGUUUUGGGUUUAGUAGAAUAUGAACUCUGACAUAACUGUUGUUCUUGUAAUUGGACACCCAUCCACUGGUAGAAUGUAUACUAUUUACUCUUCCCCUUGCUCUUCUGAAAA